AGCAGUGUAGCGUAGUGGUUAAGGAGCAGGACUCGUAAUCCAAAGGUUGCUGGUUCAAUUACCUACUGGGGCACUGCUG